AUAAUGGGAUCUAAACAAACAGGAGGUGUACAGGGCUUGUGGGGAGUUGGCUCCCCAGAAAUCUGGGAAGACUUCUAACUGGAAGACUGGAAGACUUCUAACUGGAGAUAAUGCAGUAGAGGAACUGAAGAUGCUUAUGAAGUCAUUAGUAUCAUGGACUGUAAAAAUCAAACACUGUGUAAUUCUCAGAAUACAACUAGACACUGCUCUCAUGGGAAGGAGAUUGAACUAUGUGUCUUGCGUCUUGGAAAAAAUGCAAAGCGACUCACUAACCAUGAAGAAAUAGCAAAUUAGGAAGACAGGAUGAUCAAUUUCCUUGUCUUAUUAAAAAAUAAAGUCUGCUUUCUUUUCUCUCUC